rnacentral:rRNA from 1 species
GAUGAACGCUGGCGGCGUGCCUAAUACAUGCAAGUCGAGCGAACGGACGAGAAGCUUGCUUUUCUGAUGUUAGCGGCGGACGGGUGAGUAACACGUGGAUAACCUACCUAUAAGACUGGGAUAACUUCGGGAAACCGGAGCUAAUACCGGAUAAUAUUUUGAACCGCAUGGUUCAAAAGUGAAAGACGGUCUUGCUGUCACUUAUAGAUGGAUCCGCGCUGCAUUAGCUAGUUGGUAAGGUAACGGCUUACCAAGGCAACGAUGCAUAGCCGACCUGAGAGGGUGAUCGGCCACACUGGAACUGAGACACGGUCCAGACUCCUACGGGAGGCAGCAGUAGGGAAUCUUCCGCAAUGGGCGAAAGCCUGACGGAGCAACGCCGCGUGAGUGAUGAAGGUCUUCGGAUCGUAAAACUCUGUUAUUAGGGAAGAACAUAUGUGUAAGUAACUGUGCACAUCUUGACGGUACCUAAUCAGAAAGCCACGGCUAACUACGUGCCAGCAGCCGCGGUAAUACGUAGGUGGCAAGCGUUAUCCGGAAUUAUUGGGCGUAAAGCGCGCGUAGGCGGUUUUUUAAGUCUGAUGUGAAAACCCACGGCUCAACCGUGGAGGGUCAUUGGAAACUGGAAAACUUGAGUGCAGAAGAGGAAAGUGGAAUUCCAUGUGUAGCGGUGAAAUGCGCAGAGAUGUGGAGGAACACCAGUGGCGAAGGCGACUUUCUGGUCUGUAACUGACGCUGAUGUGCGAAAGCGUGGGGAUCAAACAGGAUUAGAUACCCUGGUAGUCCACGCCGUAAACGAUGAGUGCUAAGUGUUAGGGGGUUUCCGCCCCUUAGUGCUGCAGCUAACGCAUUAAGCACUCCGCCUGGGGAGUACGACCGCAAGGUUGAAACUCAAAGGAAUUGACGGGGGCCCGCACAAGCGGUGGAGCAUGUGGUUUAAUUCGAAGCAACGCGAAGAACCUUACCAAAUCUUGACAUCCUUUGACAACUCUAGAGAUAGAGCCUUCCCCUUCGGGGGACAAAGUGACUGGUGGUGCAUGGUUGUCGUCAGCUCGUGUCGUGAGAUGUUGGGUUAAGUCCCGCAACGAGCGCAACCCUUAAGCUUAGUUGCCAUCAUUAAGUUGGGCACUCUAAGUUGACUGCCGGUGACAAACCGGAGGAAGGUGGGGAUGACGUCAAAUCAUCAUGCCCCUUAUGAUUUGGGCUACACACGUGCUACAAUGGACAAUACAAAGGGCAGCGAAACCGCGAGGUCAAGCAAAUCCCAUAAAGUUGUUCUCAGUCCGGAUUGUAGUCUGCAACUCGACUACAUGAAGCUGGAAUCGCUAGUAAUCGUAGAUCUGCAUGCUACGGUGAAUACGUUCCCGGGUCU